UCCUGGAUUCCUGUGCUCACAGUAUGAGCGGCCUGAGAAGGCAGAUGCAAUUGCCAGACAUGUGUCCAGGUUCAGCUGUCCAGGUGGGGUGGGAGCAGCUCCAGCACCAGGUGGCCCAACAUCAGACUGUGCAGCAGAUGUGGCAGUUACUGAUAGAGAAGAGGGUCGGAUCAUUACCCAUUAGGUGGUGAAUAUGGAGGAGCAGUCCAUUGCUGCUUUUGGUCUCAAGAAACUUCAAAUGGGUACUCUUCAUGAAUGCGGCGCACAACACAGGAGGGUAUGACCACACGGUUAUUUUUGCCCAGGUGUCCCCAGCACCAGGACACAAAACUUCGAUAGGCCAG